GAUGAACGCUGGCGGCGUGCCUAAUACAUGCAAGUCGAGCGAACGGACGAGAAGCUUGCUUCUCUGAUGUUAGCGGCGGACGGGUGAGUAACACGUGGAUAACCUACCUAUAAGACUGGGAUAACUUCGGGAAACCGGAGCUAAUACCGGAUAAUAUUUUGAACCGCAUGGUUCAAAAGUGAAAGACGGUCUUGCUGUCACUUAUAGAUGGAUCCGCGCUGCAUUAGCUAGUUGGUAAGGUAACGGCUUACCAAGGCAACGAUGCAUAGCCGACCUGAGAGGGUGAUCGGCCACACUGGAACGGAGACACGGUCCAGACUCCUAAGGGAGGCAGCAGUAGGGAAUCUUCCGCAAUGGGCGGAAGCCUGACGGAGCAACGCCGCGUGAGUGAUAAAGGUCUUCGGAUCGUAAAACUCUGUUAUUAGGGAAGAACAUAUGUGUAAGUAACUGUGCACAUCUUGACGGUACCUAAUCAGAAAGCCACGGCUAACUACGUG
rnacentral:rRNA from 1 species